rnacentral:rRNA from 1 species
UACGAGGGGGGCGAGCGUUGUUCGGAAUUAUUGGGCGUAAAGGGUGCGUAGGCGGUUUUGUAAGUCUGAUGUGAAAUCUAUGGGCUCAACUCAUAGCCUGCAUCGGAAACUGCAGGGCUCGAGUGUGGGAGAGGUGAGUGGAAUUCCCGGUGUAGAGGUGAAAUUCGUAGAUAUCGGGAGGAACACCAGUGGCGAAGGCGGCGACCUGGACGGACACUGACGCUGAGACGCGAAAGCGUGGGGAGCAAACAGG